ensembl:misc_RNA 7SK 7SK RNA
ACAUGUGAGGGCGAUCUGGCUGCGAUAUCUGUCACCCCAUUGAUCGCCAGGGUUGAUUCGGCUGAUCUGGCUGGCUAGGCAGGUGUCCCCUUCCUCUCCCAUGGCUCCAUGUGCGUCCCUCCUGAAGCUGCGCGCUUGGUAGAAGAGGACGACCAUCCCAGAUAGAGGAGGACCGGUCUUCGGUCAAGGGUAUACAAGUAGCUGCGCUCCCCUGCUAGAACCUCCAAACAAGCUCUCAAUGUGUGACAGCUAUAUAUCUAUAUCUAUAUCUGUAUCUAUAUCUAUAUAUAUGUAUAAUUCUAU